UGACCUGCCGUCAUGUGACCUGCCUUCACAACAAAGAUGGCGGCCGUGCUGAGCUUGUGCGGAGCUCUGAUCUUUUUUCUUCCUUCGAUCACGUGGAGCAGGAAGGUGUCAGUCCAGUUGAAUCCAGGUGCGCUGACUCCGCCCCCUGGUGGCGAUGUGGUGCACGUGAGAGCUCAGGGAGACAACGACACGCUUCACUUCCUCUUCUGCAGCCAGGGGGCGCCAACACUGCUGAUGGUGCACACCAACCUGUCUACUUCUACUCUAUCGGUGGAGUGGUCAGUGUUCCUGAGUGACAACAGUAGUGGGAGUGUGAAGGUGGAACCUGGCAGCAACAUCUUGUACAGCAGGGCCCUCGUCUUCACUAGAUUGUUAGAAUACAACGACGUCAACAACACAGCACAAGUGACCUCUGACCUGUACCCGCCCUAUGACCUGCACAACAUCAGCUGGUCUCAUGUCAAACUGUCUGGAACCUCCGUGCUCUUGUGUGGUCCUCUGGUGCUAGGACUGCUCUGUCUGAAGCUGUCUGCGUUCGAGUCGGAGGGGCGUGCGGAGACUUGGCCCCGCCUACUUCACACAGCUAACUCCUCCCAGAUGGAGGUGUGGCUUGACGGCCUGUAUCCGAGGGCGGAGCGAUCACGCUUCUUCCUGGAGCUGCAGGCAGUGGGCGGAGCCUAUCCCCUGGACAGCGUGGCGGUGCGUCGCUCCAUCGAUGACGAGUUCACGCCCUCCAUCUUCCAGGUGUCUCAGUGGACAUCGGCAACAGAGGACAGCUCCCGGGGGCGGGGCUUCGUCCUGUGGAAGCCGGUGGCGUAUCGCCGCUCCUCGCCCACGCUGGAGGACGCCACGCCGUGUCGCCACUCCCACCCGCGCCCCACCGACGGCCAAGAGGUGGCGGCGGCGUCCAGGCUGGUGAGAGCCUUCUUCUACCAGGAGGUCGCCUACGGACUCAACGUGACCUUUGGCCUGGCGGGAGGACCCUUCUACAACAGCAGCAGGUUCCUCACAUGGACUCUGCUGGUGGGCGUCGGCCUCCCCCCCGCAGACACCUUCUCCCCUCUGCUGCUCGCCAUCAUGGCCGCAGGGCUGGGCGUCCCACUCCUCCUCCUGUUGAUGGGCGGAGUUUAUGUCUGCACGCGCGCUCCAUCUGCUUCCUCUGUCAACAGCUACCAGCCAAUCAACUGACCUCACCACGCCCCCUUUAUCAGCCAAUCAGCUGACCUCACCACGCCCCCUUUAUCAGCCAAUCAACUGACCUCACCACGCCCCCUUUAUCAGCCAAUCAACUGACCUCACCACGCCCCCUUUAUCAGCCAAUCAGGACAGAGAUGGACUCAGGGACUUCUGCUGGGCUUUUGGGGAACUUCUGGAUCUGCCAUGGAGACCAGCUGCUGGGUCUCUGCCACAGAGACAGGACUGCAGAGUUUGGAGAGACUGGUGGAGAUGCGGAUGAAGAGACAGGACUGCAGAGUUUGGAGAGACUGGAGGAGAUGCGGAUGAAGAGACAGGACUGCAGAGUUUGGAGAGACUGGAGGAGAUGCGGAUGAAGAGACGGGACUGCAGAGUUUGGAGAGACUGGAGGAGAUGCGGAUGAAGAGACGGGACUGCAGAGUUUGGAGAGACUGGAGGAGAUGUGGAUGAAGAGACGGGACUGCAGAGUUUGGAGAGACUGGAGGAGAUGCGGAUGAAGAGACAGGACUGCAGAGUUUGGAGAGACUGGAGGAGAUGCGGAUGAAGAGACAGGACUGCAGAGUUUGGAGAGACUGGAGGAGAUGCGGAUGAAGAGACGGGACUGCAGAGUUUGGAGAGACUGGAGGAGAUGUGGAUGAAGAGACGGGACUGCAGAGUUUGGAGAGACUGGAGGAGAUGCGGAUGAAGAGACAGGACUGCAGAGUUUGGAGAGACUGGAGGAGAUGCGGAUGAAGAGACAGGACUGCAGAGUUUGGAGAGA